CGAAGCCCCGGUAAACGGCGGCCGUAACUAUAACGGUCCUAAGGUAGCGAAAUUCCUUGUCGGGUAAGUUCCGACCUGCACGAAUGGCGUAACGAUGGCGGCGCUGUCUCCACCCGAGACUCAGUGAAAUUGAAAUCGCUGUGAAGAUGCAGUGUAUCCGCGGCUAGACGGAAAGACCCCGUGAACCUUUACUGUAGCUUUGCACUGGACUUUGAGCCUGCUUGUGUAGGAUAGGUGGGAGGCUUUGAAGCGUGGACGCCAGUUCGCGUGGAGCCAUCCUUGAAAUACCACCCUGGCAUGCUUGAGGUUCUAACUCUGGUCCGUGAUCCGGAUCGAGGACAGUGUAUGGUGGGCAGUUUGACUGGGGCGGUCUCCUCCUAAAGAGUAACGGAGGAGUACGAAGGUGCGCUCAGACCGGUCGGAAAUCGGUCGCAGAGUAUAAAGGCAAAAGCGCGCUUGACUGCGAGACAGACACGUCGAGCAGGUACGAAAGUAGGUCUUAGUGAUCCGGUGGUUCUGUAUGGAAGGGCCAUCGCUCAACGGAUAAAAGGUACUCCGGGGAUAACAGGCUGAUACCGCCCAAGAGUUCAUAUCGACGGCGGUGUUUGGCACCUCGAUGUCGGCUCAUCACAUCCUGGGGCUGAAGCCGGUCCCAAGGGUAUGGCUGUUCGCCAUUUAAAGUGGUACGCGAGCUGGGUUUAGAACGUCGUGAGACAGUUCGGUCCCUAUCUGCCGUGGACGUUUGAGAUUUGAGAGGGGCUGCUCCUAGUACGAGAGGACCGGAGUGGACGAACCUCUGGUGUUCCGGUUGUCACGCCAGUGGCAUUGCCGGGUAGCUAUGUUCGGAAAAGAUAACCGCUGAAAGCAUCUAAGCGGGAAACUUGCCUCAAGAUGAGAUCUCACUGGGAACUUGAUUCCCCUGAAGGGCCGUCGAAGACUACGACGUUGAUAGGCUGGGUGUGUAAGCGUUGUGAGGCGUUGAGCUAACCAGUACUAAUUGCCCGUGAGGCUUGACCAUAUAACACCCAAACA
rnacentral:rRNA from 1 species